GAUGAACGCUGGCGGCGUGCCUAAUACAUGCCAGUCGAGCGAACAGACGAGGAGCUUGCUCCUCUGACGUUAGCGGCGGACGGGUGAGUAACACGUGGAUAACCUACCUAUAAGACUGGGAUAACUUCGGGAAACCGGAGCUAAUACCGGAUAAUAUAUUGAACCGCAUGGUUCAAUAGUGAAAGACGGUUUUGCUGUCACUUAUAGAUGGAUCCGCGCCGCAUUAGCUAGUUGGUAAGGUAACGGCUUACCAAGGCAACGAUGCGUAGCCGACCUGAGAGGGUGAUCGGCCACACUGGAACUGAGACACGGUCCAGACUCCUACGGGAGGCAGCAGUAGGGAAUCUUCCGCAAUGGGCGAAAGCCUGACGGAGCAACGCCGCAUGAGUGAUGAAGGUCUUCGGAUCGUAAAACUCUGUUAUUAGGGAAGAACAAAUGUGUAAGUAACUAUGCACGUCUUGACGGUACCUAAUCAGAAAGCCACGGCUAACUACGUG
rnacentral:rRNA from 1 species